GGCUCAGGUCAUGAUCUCAGGGUCCUGGGAUCGAGCCCCGCAUCGGGAUCUCUGCUCACAGGGAGCCUGCUUCCUCCUCUCUCUCUGCCUGCCUCUCUGCCUACUUGUGAUCUCUGUCUGUCAAAUAAAUAAAUACAAUCUUAAAAAAAAAAAAA